ACGUAGGGGGCAAGCGUUAUCCGGAUUUACUGGGUGUAAAGGGAGCGUAGACGGCUGUGCAAGUCUGAAGUGAAAGGCAUGGGCUCAACCUGUGGACUGCUUUGGAAACUGUGCAGCUAGAGUGUCGGAGAGGUAAGUGGAAUUCAUAGUGUAGCGGUGAAAUGCGUAGAUAUUAGGAGGAACACCAGUGGCGAAGGCGGCUUACUGGACGAUGACUGACGUUGAGGCUCGAAAGCGUGGGGAGCAAACAG
rnacentral:rRNA from 1 species